GACGAACGCUGGCGGCGUGCCUAAUACAUGCAAGUAGAACGCUGUUGCGAACGGGUGAGUAACGCGUAGGUAACUGCCUCAUAGCGGGGGUUAACUAUUGGAAACGAUAGCUAAUACCGCAUACUGUGAGAUGGACCUGCGUUGUAUUAGCUAGUUGGUGGGGUAAAGGCUCACCAAGGCGACGAAACAUACCCGACCUGGGAGGGGGAUCGGCCAAACUGGGACUGGAGCACGGCCCCGGAUCCUACAGGGGGCAGCAGUAGGGGAUCUUCGGCGAAGGACGGAAGUCUGGCCAGGCAACGCCGCGUGAGUGAAGAAAGUUUUCGGAUCGUAAAGCCCUGUUGUUAGAGGAGCGGUAACUAACCAGAAAGGGACGGCUAACUACGUGCCAGCAGCCGCGGUAAUAC
rnacentral:rRNA from 1 species